AUGCACGCUGGCGGCGUGCCUAAUACAUGCAAGUCGAGCGAACAGACGAGGAGCUUGCUCCUCUGACGUUAGCGGCGGACGGGUGAGUAACACGUGGAUAACCUACCUAUAAGACUGGGAUAACUUCGGGAAACCGGAGCUAAUACCGGAUAAUAUAUUGAACCGCAUGGUUCAAUAGUGAAAGACGGUUUUGCUGUCACUUAUAGAUGGAUCCGCGCCGCAUUAGCUAGUUGGUAAGGAAACGGCUUACCAAGGCAACGAGGGGUGGCCGACCUGAGGGGGGGUACGGCCCCCUGGGACAGGGGACCCGUCCCAGCACCUAAGGGGAGGAAGAAGAGGGAAACUUGCCGAAAGGGGGGAAAGCCUGACGGAGAAACGCCGGGGGGGUGAUGAAGUGUUUCGGAUCGUAAAACGCUUUUAUUGGGGAAAAAAAAAUGGUAAAGUAACUAUGCCGGUCUGAACGGUACCAAAAAAGAAAGCCACGGCUAACUCCGG
rnacentral:rRNA from 1 species